rnacentral:misc_RNA from 1 species
GAUGAAGAACGUAGCGAAAUGCGAUAAGUAAUGUGAAUUGCAGAAUUCAGUGAAUCAUCGAAUCUUUGAACGCACAUUGCGCCCGCUAGUAUUCUGGCGGGCAUGCCUGUUCGAGCGUCAUUUCAACCAUCAAGCCCUGUUUAGGCUUGUGUUGGGGCCCUGCGGUUGCCGCAGCCCCCUAAAUGCAGUGGCGGGCUCGUUGUCACUCCGAGCGCAGUAGCGUAUCUCGCUCUGGGCGUGGCGGCGGGUUCCGGCCGUUAAAAAGCCUUUUUUACCCAAGGUUGACCUCGGAUCAGGUAGGAAGACCCGCUGAACUUAAGCAUAUCAAUAAGCGGAGGA